UCUCUCCCUCUGUCUCCCUCUGUCUCUUACGGGCAGAGAGAAGAAACCCACGCGCGCACGCGGUGAUGUCUUACGGGUGAUAAUUGGCCCAGGGGUCGGGUCUGACGGGAACAGAAAGUUUUGAGGGAGUUUACUGCUGAUGCAAGGUGACUGGUUGGAUAAAGAAGUCCAAAGUUAUUUUUUUAUCUGUAGAACAAAUAAAGCCUGGCCAAAGGGUUACUGUCGGGAUGAAAUGAACAAGUGUUGGAAACAAAUGUCCCUAGACACUGAAGAAUGCCAGUGCCUGAAUGGAUGACUUUCUUCUGUCUCCUGUAGAUGACCUUGAGCACAGAGCAGGGGCUCCUGGGGGCAGGAUCCAGUCAACGGCAGCCCCAUGAGGCACUUGUGGCUUGAAGGCAGAAGUGACCACUUUAGAAACAAGUGACAGAGGUACACAGAUGACCAUGCCAUGCUAGACACCUAAGCAGGUUGGACUCUGAGAAGACUUGUAUUUUCUGGCUCUGGCUCUACAAGAAUGUGGCAUGAAGGAUUCUAGGUGGUUCCUAUGGUUGAGGAACUAGAGGCUUGGAGAGACUUGUAACCUGACGAAACCAUGCAAUGGGGCCAGGACGCAAAGCCUGUGUUCUCCCAGCAGUUCCUCUGUAUCAUGGGUGUAAUCAUCGAGGCGUCUUCUGAUCUUUCCCUUUGGUUCCUUCUCCAGCAAGUUCCUGUUGUCACUUAGGAAUUUUAUGUAUGGACUCAAUCCUGACCGAGAUAUCAUGAUAUCCAGAAUCCUGGUUGAUCUGUAACACAUACUGGGCCAGCUUGAACAAGCUCUUGACCAUGGCUGGGAUAUCCAACUAGAUCUGAGAGUGCUUUCCCUCCCCAGCUCAGUUCAAAUGGGAGGGUCUAAUAAGACCAUUCACACCAGCAUUCCUCAGAUAUAGGUGCUCUGCAGUUUUCUUUAUAGAAUAAUGUAAGAGACACAGUUAAACAGCAAGGAGUUGUUCCUGUGAGCUUGGCCAAUGUGAACCAGACUUUCUUAGGGCUUGCUUAUCCCAAAGCAGAUCAACCAUUAGACUUCCAGAUCUGAGACACCAAACCAUGUAUUUCAGAGAGACCUCAGCCUCAAUGUUCUGCCUAGCUCCCAGCCCUGGCCUCUUCCAACUGUUACCUGGGUUUCAGCCAUGUGUGGGGUUGAUUCAGGAUGGAAAUACCAGCUAAGUCAGUGAAACCCAUUGCCCCUGGGCCUGUGGAGAAGCAAGGCAUGACGGUGAGGAGCCUGUGGUGGGGCCAACUUCUCAGCUCAUGGCAGCAGGAAGCCCAGAGAACAAGGAGAAGGACACAGUUCAUCGACUCCACUUUCUUCCACCAGAACCCGUCGUCUUUGGAUUCUGCCAUUUCCUAGUCAUGGCCCAGGCUGGAUACCUUCACGGACAUUGCAGGCUGUGUGUCUGCUCACAGAUGCCUUCUGCAAGGGCACUUUUACUCAGGGGACGUUCCUGCUCUUAGUGCAGUGGGCUCCCUCCCUUCAGUGCCAUUCCCCAGGGACAGUUUCUCCAUGUCCACACCCCACCCCGCCCCCCAGUCAGAGAAAUCAAUACCUAACCAUGGAAUUCUCCUCAGCAGUUUUUGGUGUGGUUGAAAAACUUCCCUUUGAAGCUGAAAGUGGCCAUGGGUCCAGAUACAGUCUCCAUGCUGCCUGCCCCAGGGGCCACCCCCACCGCUGAGGUGUUCAGCUCCACAAGGCAUCUUGUGUCUUGAAACAUAGGUGUCUCAUCUGGGAGCUUAGGAAGGGCUGAAGACACAUCUUGGUCAUUAGUGUCACCUGUGGUAAUGUGAUUAGCAUGAACAGUUCAAGGUGAAGGGCUGUCUUUAAGAACACCAGCUGAUCCUCACAGCUGGAGGCCAGCAGUAGCCGUGGCUCAGAAGGGGACAGCCUAACCACUCUGUGUGUUUGAGCUAAUGAGAAGGUUAGGGGUCCAGUGUCACUUGAGAUAAAUUAGAGAAGGAGACCAACUGCAGACUGCACCCUGAGCAGAGCCGAGUUUCUCGAAAAGGAACUUACCACUGUGGUGUGACUCAUAGAAGAGGCUAGCUCACAGGGACACACACACAUUCACUCAAGCUUUCGUCAUGGUAGCUUAGUUUCGGUUUGGUUGCUAGUGUGUUUUUGGUUUGUUUGUUUUAUUGACUUAAUUAAAAAUAAUAUAAUGAAACUCAGUCCCUGGAUGUGGGGAUCUGAGGGUUUUCAGGAAGGCAGUCAUGUGUGCACUAGAAGUCAUGAUGUGGAGCCCUGAUCACACCCCAGCCCAUUUCCUAUGUGACCCUUUGCAUCCAACACCUUCUUCUUGUCCCAAAGCCUGGCAGCUCUGGAUCUGUUUUGCAGGUCUUUUCCAGAAUGUUCUAUAGAUAGAAUAAUACAUCACAGAACUUGUCAGAUCUGAUUUCUUUUACCCAGCAGUAUGUAUUGGGACCCAUCCUUGCUGUUGAAUGUGUGGAGUUUGCUGUUUUCAUUGCUGAGCGAUACUCCACUGUUCACUUGUUGACUGGCAUGUCGUUACUUUUAGUCAGGAAAACCAUAGUAAACAUUUGUGUGCAACA